rnacentral:tRNA from 1 species
GCAGAUGUGGCGGAAUAGGCAGACGUGCUAUCUUGAGGGGGUAGUGAGAAGUUCUCAUACGGGUUCAAAUCCCGUCAUCUGCA